UACGGGGGGGGGCAAGCGUUGUUCGGAAUUACUGGGCGUAAAGGGCUCGUAGGCGGCCAACUAAGUCAGACGUGAAAUCCCUCGGCUUAACCGGGGAACUGCGUCUGAUACUGGAUGGCUUGAAUCCGGGAGAGGGAUGCGGAAUUCCAGGUGUAGCGGUGAAAUGCGUAGAUAUCUGGAGGAACACCGGUGGCGAAGGCGACAUCCUGGACCGGUAUUGACGCUGAGUGAGCGAAAGCCAGGGGAGCAAAGCGGGAU
rnacentral:rRNA from 1 species